rnacentral:rRNA from 1 species
UGGGGGUAAAGCGCACGCAGGCGGUUUGUUAAUUCAGAUGUGAAAUCCCCGGGCUCACCCUGGGAAUUCCAUUUGAAACUGCCAGGCUUGAUUCUUGUAGAGGGGGGUAGAAUUCCAGGUGUAGCGGUGAAAUACGUAGAGAUCUGGAGGAAUACCGGUGGCGAAGGCGGCCCCCUGGACAAAGACUGACGCUCAGGUGCGAAAGCGUGGGGAGCAAACAGGAUUAGAUGCCCUGGUAGUCCGCGCAGUAAACGAUGUAGACUUGGAGGUUGUUCCCUCGAGGAGUGGCUUCCGGAGAUACACGCGUUAAGUCGGCCUGCCUGGUGAGUACGGCCAGCAAGGUUAAAACUCAAAUGAAUUGACGGGGGCCCGCACAAGCGGUCGAGCAUGUGGAUUAAUUGGAUGCAACGCGACGAACCUUACUUACUCUUGACAUCCAGAGAUCUUAGCAGAGAUGGUUUGGUGCCUUGGGGAACUCUGAGACAGGUGGUGCAUGGCUGUUGUCAGCUCGUGUUGUGAAAUGUUGGGUUAAGUCCCGCAACGAGCGCAACCCUUAUCCUUGUGUUGCCAGAGAUUGUGGUGGGGAACUCAAAGGAGACUGCCAGUGAUAAACUGGAGGAAGGUGGGGAUGACGUCAAGUCAUCAUGGCCCUUACGAGGAGGGCUACACACGUGCUACAAUGGCAUAUACAAAGAGAAGCGACCUCGCGAGAGCAAGCGGUCCUCAUAAAGUAUGUAGUAGUCCGGAUAGGGGUCUGCUACUCGACUCCAAGAAGUCGGAAUCGCUAGUAAUGGAAGAUCAGAAUGCUACGGAGAAGAUGUUCCCCGGCCCUGCACACACCGCCC